UCUUCCAGUCAACUCCCUUGAAGAAGGGAUGCGAUUUCAGGGAAGCGUAACCAUCAGGGCCGGCACCUGGUCUUCUGCUGGGGUCAGUAUCCUUUCAUGAACGGGAAAGUUGCAACAUGCAGAGAAGAUGGUGUUUAAACUGAAAGGAAGCUAUGGAUGAGUUGCAGAUUACCAGCAACCGGUCAAUGAGAUCGCUAGCAGCUUCCGAAAAAUAGUUUGGAAAUCUGAUGUCUCUGGCAAUGAUCUUUUGAAAAAUUAGCCAUUCACUUGCAUCUUUAAAGGGAGAACUGCCAGAAAGCAUCUGGUACAAGGUGCAGCCAAGUGCCCAGAGAUCGUUGCUGUUUAAAUUUGUUCAAAUAUGUUAACCAACAGAGUUGAAAUAUGAAACCAUCUGGCCUUUUCAUUCGUUUGUUUUACUUAUCUUUUUAAGAGCCAUCAAGGACAAUUACCCAAAGGUUGCUGGAGAGGAAUUUAGAACUUCUGGGGGGACAUAAGCAGCUGUUCCCACAAAGGUGCAUGCUUUGUCAUCUGAAAGGGCAUCAAGGACAACGGCUUAAUGCAUUCAUGUAGUGAUAUGUUCUUCACUUCAUUAUGACAAGCUCACCUGACGCUGCGUUAGGGAGGAUUGUAACGCGGCUGCCCUGCAUAGGCUUCACACUACCAAAAUCAGCAAUUUUGAUAUGUCCUUCCGCAGUGAGUAGCAGGUUCUCUGGCUGCCAUUCAAGACACUAUUAGCAUGCAUUUCCCUUGUGGCCAACAGCCAGUGCAUCAAUGGCGUGAAUUACCUUGAUAUCCCGAUGUAUCAAUCCCAUACCAUGUAUGUACUCCAGAGCAUCGAUAACUUCAGCUGCAUAGAACCGAGCUUCAUCCUCUGAUAGACGGCCUUUCUGCAUACAAGACAAUGGUAAAGAAAUUUGCAUUUUUUCAGUGAUUUUACAUUGGUAGAGAAGAAGGACAAGAGUGUCACAACAUUUCUUAGAUGCCCUUACUCUGGUUAUUUGAUCAAACAGUUCUCCACCUUCACAAGACUCGAGCGCCAUGUCUGAAAGUGUAAUCAGAGGUACCAAUCAUGAUCAUAGUAUUGACAAAGAGAAAGACACAUUCUGUGUGAAUCUGGAGGUAAUGAAACUUCAACUACACCUUGACCAAGAGUACGUACACAGGGAAAACGUAUCUUGAAAUGUGAAGAAGAGCCUCACAAUGCCAGGAUGGUCCAACUGGUCGAUUACAAUGCGCUCCAGCUUGACGUAAGCAGUUUUGUUUUCUUUGGUGAUGAAUUUCUUGUCCAUGAUCUUCAAGGCGUAUACAGUUCCUGUAUCUUUCUUCCUUGCUUGCACAACCUGGUGAAUCGUAUGGCAGGCAAAUGUUGGGAAGACAAGUUAGGGAUGAAUGACGAAAGGCAUCCAUCCAAGAAGAGAAAAGCGAAAAACUCUAGACAUGCGAGGGAUGGAAAUGGGAGUUUGUGUUGCGAAAACAACACCCUGAUUGGAAGUUAUCACCUAUCAAGUACUCUCGUGAAACUGAUCCCCAUAUCAAGGAUGUCCCAGUAAUUUUUAGCAUCCUCUCUCUCUGAGUUAACAUGCUCUCUUUCUUUGGAUUCUUAUCUACUGCCAGUCCCAAGCCCGGACAUUGCAGAUUAAUUACAAUCAUUUGGCAUCAUCACCAACAAACACACUUGAAAGAUGAUCCUAAUCUCCAGUUUUGGCCCAUUGAUAGGCUGCCAUUUAUGAAUCUCCAUUAUUGGUUCUUGAAACCACCAAACAGAAUACAGAUAUCAGACAGAAUGUACGAAAAGCUAGCCAACACCCAAGAGAAAGCAUAGAGAUGACGGAAACCCAAUACCCACAAUGUUCCAAUGAUCAUAAAUCAGAUUAUUGCAACGAAUCAAAAGACCGAAAAGAACCCAGAAACGUUCAAAAGGAACCCAGAAUUCUGACCUUGGAAUAAGAACCAACGCCAUAGAUCUUGCCCAAU